rnacentral:rRNA from 1 species
GAUGAACGCUGGCGGCGUGCCUAAUACAUGCAAGUCGAGCGAACAGACGAGGAGCUUGCUCCUCUGACGUUAGCGGCGGACGGGUGAGUAACACGUGGAUAACCUACCUAUAAGACUGGGAAAACUUCGGGAAACCGGCGCUAAUACCGGAUAAUAUAUUGAACCGCAUGGUUCAAUAGUGAAAGACGGUUUUGCUGUCACUUAUAGAUGGAUCCGCGCCGCAUUAGCUAGUUGGUAAGGUAACGGCUUACCAAGGCAACGAUGCGUAGCCGACCUGAGAGGGUGAUCGGCCGCACUGGAACUGAGACACGGUCCAGACUCCUACGGGAGGCAGCAGUAGGGAAUCUUCCGCAGUGGGCGAAAGCCUGACGGAGCAACGCCGCGUGAGUGACGAAGGUCUUCGGAUCGUAAAACUCUGUUAUUAGGGAAGAACAAAUGUGUAAGUAACUAUGCACGUCUUGACGGUACCUAAUCAGAAAGCCACGGCUAACUACGUG